GAGAAAAUAGCUCAGUGGUUAGAGUAUUAGCCUGUCACGUUAAAAGUCGCGGGUUCAAAUCCCGUUUUUCUCG
rnacentral:tRNA from 1 species